rnacentral:rRNA from 1 species
CCUACGGGAGGCAGCAGUGGGGAAUUUUGCGCAAUGCUCGUAAGAGUGACGCAGCGACGCCGCGUGAAUGACGAAGGCCUUCCGGUCGUUAAGUUCUUUUGACCGGGAAGAAAAUGCCUAUAAGUAACUGCGGAUGUAUUGACGGUACCUGUAUACGCAGCCCCGGUUAAAUCCGUGCCAGCAGCCGCGGUAAUACGGAGGGGGGGAGCGUUGUUCGGGGUGACUGGGCGGAAAGGGGACGUAGGUGGUGUUGUAAGUCAGUAGGCAAAGACUAGAGCUCAAACUUAGGAAGGCUAGUGAUACUGUAAGACUAGAGUAUCAGAGAGGAAUGCAGAAUGCCUGGUGUAGCGGUGAAAUGCGUAGAUAUCAGGAAGAAUACCGUUAGCGAAGGCGGCAAUCUGGCUGGAAACUGACGCUGAGGUGCGAAAGCGUGGGUAGCAAACAGGAUUAGAUACCCGAGUAGUC